rnacentral:lncRNA from 1 species
GCCCCAGCCACAAUCUGAAGCAAUGCACGCAUUUACCACCCAGAACCGGAUGGCACCCACAGUGAUCCUGGAGCCCGCGGUUGGCUGCCUUUGCGACCAGCCGGUGCACAUCACCGUGCGCGGCCUGGGCCCCGAGCAGCCCGUCACGCUGCGCGCGGCCCUGCGCGACGAGAAGGGCGCGCUCUUCCGAGCCCACGCGCGCUACCGCGCCGACGCCCAUGGAGUGCUGGACCUGGAGCGCGCGCCCGCGCUGGGCGGCAGCUUCACCGGGCUCGAGCCCAUGGGGCUGAUCUGGGCCAUGGAACCCGAACGGCCUUUCUGGCGUCUGGUCAAGCGCGACGUGCAGACGCCCUUCGUGGUGGAGCUGGAGGUGCUGGACGGACACGAGCCCGACGGCGGGCGGCUGCUGGCGCAGGCGGUGCACGAGCGUCACUUCAUGGCUCCCGGGGUGCGGCGCGUGCCGGUGCGCGAGGGCCGGGUGCGCGCCACGCUCUUCCUGCCCCCAGACCUUUUUGGACUUGGAGGCGGCCUUCUGGAGUACCGGGCGAGUCUGCUGGCUGGGAAGGGCUUUGCCGUCAUGGCUCUGGCUUAUUACAACUACGACGACCUCCCCAAGGACGUGGACAUUAUCCACCUGGAGUACUUUGAGGAAGCGGUGAACUACCUGCUCAGUCACCUAGCCAACGUCGGUGGAACCUUACAGUACAGGGAUGAGACCAUACUCCCGGUGG